UGAGCUUUUAUAUAUAAUGGAUAGGCCUGGCACGCCAAUAAUAGAUUAUUUGGCUAAAGAAUGUAACCUGGAUGUACAAGAAUCUUGUAAAUAAAGCCAAACUUAUGAAAUGUUUUUAACUUCAGAUAGCAGUUUUAUCCUUGCUGCUGCUUAUAUGAAGCAUUACGUGAGGCAAGCUGCCUUUCAAGGGUGCUUAUGGGUCCCGAAAUAUUGGGAAUCUAACAUUUUACAAAUUACAAUCUUGUUUGUUUCUGAUUUGCCAUUGUGGGAACUAUUCUACUUCAAUUUACUCUUAAAUCUCUUUAUUUGCAGAUAAUUUCUUUUCUUCA
rnacentral:misc_RNA from 1 species